CCGAGUUUACAACUCCUAAACCCCUGUGAACGUACUCGUGUUCCUUUGGCAGGCGGCCCCUGGGAGGGGCCGUAGCCUCGCGGCGCCUGCCAUUGGGAAAACUCCAGCGUAUUUUAAUACUCUGAGCUUCUAUAUAAAUGAAUCA
rnacentral:misc_RNA from 1 species